CGUACGUCGCUGGGAUGCUGCACCAUAUUUAUUGUUCACACACACACACACACACACACACACACACAUACUAACAUCACAAGACAUUCAAAGAAAACACACACACAGUUAUAGGACGGUGAAAGAUUUGAGAGUACUACGGUGUAACGAGGUACGCCUGACGGUUUUGGCUGAGAGAAGCAGAUCGGCGGAACCGCUGGUGGUGGUGGUGGUGGUGCAGAUUGUGCUCCCCGCACCGAGGGCGGGACUUACUGUAAGGACACUGCCGGACAAAUCCAAGUUAUGAUGACGAUGAUGAUGAUGAUGAUGAUGAUGAUGAUGAUGAUGAUGAUGAUGAUGAUGAUAGUGGUGGUGGUGGUGGUGCCUCUAAUACCAUAAGCUAAUAUCACAUUUUGGGCUAACCAUCUCAUGCACAUCACCAAACAAAGUACAAGAUUCUCAUAAAAUUGCCUCUCCAUCUCUAGAAAAAGGUGUAAGAACAACACUGCUGAGACAGGUCAAAUUUCAGCAAUAAAUGAUCUCCAUGCCCCAACUUCCUGUGGUGAAUGAAACCUUUACAGCAACAGUCUGAAAGCAUGCCAGCAAUACCUUUCCCACCGACACAAGCAAGCAGGUCAGAAGACAGGCGUAGCACCAUCAGCCAUUAACUAAUAAAAGGAUAAACUAUCAUUGACUCGUAUUUUAGAAUAUUGCAAGAAAGAAAAUUCAUAUUCAGGAUAUGAAAUGGUGCUGCAGUAUGUACAUGACUGAUCAGUGGAAGAUCACACAACUUAUUUGAAAAAUACAUUUACAACUUUCCAUGGCAACAUUCCUUAAAAAAAAAAAAAAUAUAUAUAUAUAUAUAUAUAUAUAUA